rnacentral:rRNA from 1 species
GACGAACGCUGGCGGCGUGCUUAACACAUGCAAGUCGAACGAAGAGCGAUGGAAGCUUGCUUCUCUCAAUCUUAGUGGCGAACGGGUGAGUAACGCGUAAUCAACCUGCCCUUCAGAGGGGGACAACAGUUGGAAACGACUGCUAAUACCGCAUACGAUCUAAUCUCGGCAUCGAGGAUAGAUGAAAGGUGGCCUCUACAUGUAAGCUAUCACUGAAGGAGGGGAUUGCGUCUGAUUAGCUAGUUGGAGGGGUAACGGCCCACCAAGGCGAUGAUCAGUAGCCGGCCUGAGAGGAUGAACGGCCACAUUGGGACUGAGACACGGCCCAGACUCCUACGGGAGGCAGCAGUGGGGAAUCUUCCGCAAAGGACGAAAGUCUGACGGAGCAACGCCGCGUGAGUGAUGACGGCCUUCGGGUUGUAAAGCUCUGUUAAUCGGGACGAAAGGCCUUCUUGCGAAUAGUGAGAAGGAUUGACGGUACCGGAAUAGAAAGCCACGGCUAACUACGUG